rnacentral:rRNA from 1 species
AGGUGAACCUGCGGAAGGAUCAUUACCGAGUGAGGGCCCUUUGGGUCCAACCUCCCACCCGUGUUUAUUUACCUCGUUGCUUCGGCGGGCCCGCCUUAACUGGCCGCCGGGGGGCUCACGCCCCCGGGCCCGCGCCCGCCGAAGACACCCCCGAACUCUGCCUGAAGAUUGUCGUCUGAGUGAAAAUAUAAAUUAUUUAAAACUUUCAACAACGGAUCUCUUGGUUCCGGCAUCGAUGAAGAACGCAGCGAAAUGCGAUACGUAAUGUGAAUUGCAAAUUCAGUGAAUCAUCGAGUCUUUGAACGCACAUUGCGCCCCCUGGUAUUCCGGGGGGCAUGCCUGUCCGAGCGUCAUUGCUGCCCUCAAGCCCGGCUUGUGUGUUGGGCCCCGUCCUCCGAUUCCGGGGGACGGGCCCGAAAGGCAGCGGCGGCACCGCGUCCGGUCCUCGAGCGUAUGGGGCUUUGUCACCCGCUCUGUAGGCCCGGCCGGCGCUUGCCGAUCAACCCAAAUUUUUAUCCAGGUUGACCUCGGAUCAGGU